AUGUUUAGGGUUUACAUAUGCCUUUUGUACUUUAACCGAAAUUGGAUACCCUCUUCUUCCCUGUGCUACGACCGUUCCGUCAUCUCCAUCUCUUCCACUUCUUCUAUGAAGUUGAUACCUCGGUUUCGAUUUUGGUUCUUUCCCAAUUUCUUCCGUGGAUCUGUAUUCUACCUCUGUGCUUCCUUAUCAUUACGAACACAAACAUAG